AACGAACGCUGGCGGCGUGCCUAACACAUGCAAGUCGAACGAGAAAGGGGCUUCGGCUCCGAGUAAAGUGGCGCACGGGUGCGUAACACGUGGGUAACCUGCCUCUAAGAUUGGGAUAACUCGUCGAAAGAUGAGCUAAUACCGAAUAAGACCACAGUUCCCGCGGGAACAGGGGUCAAAGGUAGCCUCUGCUUGCAAGCUAUCACUUAGAGAUGGGCCUGCGCACCAUUAGCUAGUUGGUAGGGUAACGGCCUACCAAGGCAAAGAUGGUUAGCUGGUCUGAGAGGAUGAUCAGCCACACUGGAACUGAGACACGGUCCAGACUCCUACGGGAGGCAGCAGUGGGGAAUAUUGCGCAAUGGGCGAAAGCUUGACGCAGCAACGCCGCGUGAGUGAUGAAGGCCUUCGGGUCGUAAAGCUCUGUCGGGAGGAACGAAUGCUCCUGAGGUUAACAGCCUCGGGAGGUGACGGUACCUUCAAAGGAAGCACCGGCUAACUCUGUG
rnacentral:rRNA from 1 species